rnacentral:rRNA from 1 species
UACGGGGGGGGCAAGCGUUGUUCGGAAUUACUGGGCGUAAAGGGCGCGUAGGCGGCCUUCUAAGUCGGACGUGAAAUCCCUCGGCUUAACCGAGGAACUGCGUCCGAUACUGAAAGGCUUGAAUCCGGGAGAGGGAAGCGGAAUUCCGGGUGUAGCGGUGAAAUGCGUAGAUAUCCGGAGGAACACCGGUGGCGAAGGCGGCUUCCUGGACCGACACUGACGCUGAGGCGCGAAAGCUAGGGGAGCAAACGGG